UGGUAUGUAAGAGACUCCCUUAACUUAAGCAUAUCAAUAAGGAAGGAAGAAAAAUAACAAUGAUUUCUUAAGUAAUGGCGAAUGAAAAAGAAAAAGACCAAGUUGAUAAGAAUGAUAAUUGUAAAAAGGUUAGAAGAUACAGCAAGUAUGAGGCUAGUCUUAAAUUAUUCAGAGGUAACUGAUAGAAAAGCUAUAUUUAAAAGGAUAAUUUAAAUUGAAUUC
rnacentral:rRNA from 1 species